UCUGGCGGCAGUAGCGCGGUGGUCCCACCUGACCCCAUGCCGAACUCAGAAGUGAAACGCCGUAGCGCCGAUGGUAGUGUGGGGUCUCCCCAUGCGAGAGUAGGGAACUGCC
rnacentral:rRNA from 6 species